GUAAGAUUCUCUGUGCUCCAUUUUCUCCUGAAAGCCUGGAAAGAGUCUGUGAGUCUUCUAUAUAUAUAAACCUUCCUUGCUGAGUGUUUCCAUACCUCACAACCUCUGAGAAUGCCUGCCAUAGAUGUGCGUGAAACAUCAGGAGAUAAUACUUCUAGAACAUGGCCAUACAGCCCGGAAAACAUACAACAACCCUGUCAUCCUGGCCAUGAAAGCCUUCGACAACAGAAAUAAAAAGACAGUGGGAACAAUACACGGAAGAACUAUUUAAAAGAGAUGAAAGGGUGACAAAUUCAUUCAAGGAAGAACCAUUUGAAGCUGACCUCCAAUUUUAGAAAGUGAAAUGGAAGCAGCACUCAAAGAAAUAAGUCACCAGAAACAAAUGUCAUACCAAUAGAGCUACUUCAAGCGAUAGUGGCUGAAUCUACUCUAAAAGGUAAAGGUAAAGGUUUUCCCCUGACAUUAAGUCUAGUUGUGUCCUACUCUGGGGGUUGGUGCUCAUCUCAAUUUCUAAGCCGAAGAGCUGGCGUUGAUCGUAGACACCUCCAAGAUCAUGUGGCCAGCAUGACUGCAUGGAGUGACGUUACCUUUUGAUGUUUUCACAUUUGCAUGUUUUCAAACUGCUAGGUUGGCUAACAGCAGGAGCUCACCCCGCAUCCCGGAUUUGACCCACUAAUCUUUCGGUCAGCAAGUUCAGCAGCUCAGCGGUUUAACCUGCUGUGCCACCGGGGGCUACUCUAGCUCUUAAUUAAAAUCUGUAGGUGAAUAUACAAAACAAAUGGCCCCCAGAUUGGAAACACUCAAAAUACAUUCCAGUCCCCAUGAGAAGAAUUGCAGUAACCACAGGACCAUGGUGUCAAUCUCUCACACAAGCAAAUUAAUGCUCAAAAUUCUACAACAAAGACCUUUACCAUAGAUGGAGAAAUGCCAGGUGUCCAAACUGUGUUCAGGAAUGGAAGAGGCUCUAGGGAUCAUAUUGAAGACAUACACUGGGUAAAAGAAAUUAUUUUCAAAAUGAAUAAAUCUUUCAUUUUGUUUUACUUGGUAAAAUAAAUGUUAACUCAUUUAAUUUUUUUUCCUGCAAUUUGAAUCAAUUGCUCAAUUGAGUCUUAGUGUUGCACCCCAAGGCAGCGUGAGCACUCGAAAACCAGAGUUAAUAUAACAUAUAAUAUCUUUAUUAAAGCAAAUAUAAAGCCAGAUGGAAAUAGGUAUAGAGUUUGAGUAAGGAAUAGUUCUUUUUAGAAAGUCAAUGGUAGUUCCAAAUGGGUAAAGAAAAAGGUCCAAUAUUAUAAUCCACAAUGAGAACUCGAUAGCUGUCCAAAGAAAUCAAAGGGUCCAUGAGUUGAAACAGAGAAACAAGGCUGGCAGAAACAGAGUUCAAUCCACUGGAAAUACUUUGUAGCAAUCAAGGCAGCAAGGUUUUCAAAGCUGAGGCAAACUUGAAUCAGGAACAAGGAAACAACUGGAGUAAAGUCAAGGUCUACUUGAGAGUCACGGCCCGACUGGAUCUGGAUAAACCUGGCUUGGAAACAAACAAGAGCUGGAGAUGGAGAACCUCUCUCAAGGAAGAGCUACAUUGACACUGCAAAGAAGCCACUGAGCAAAACGCUUUUAUGGAUCCUAAACUGAAUCCAAAAUAGGGAGAGCAAUACUCUCAAAAACUUCCCAUGGGAACUCUAACCAUUAUCCCCUCGGGACGCCAGACAUUGACUUCUACGAAGGUUUUGUUUUGCACUUCUCUCACGAUUCAGAAAUUCUCUUUGAUUAAAAUCCACAUUCUCAGGCGAGCUGAGAACAUCUGGCACAGACGAGGAAGAGUAGGAGACUCCCUUCCAAUUAACAGCCCUUCCUGGCUGAUUUCUCCAGGCACCUGGAGCUGCAAAGGGUUCAGAACUGGGUGAACUGGGUGAAAAGUCAUAAUAAGCCUCAUCUGUGUCAGAGUUCAGCUCCUGAUCAGGCUCUGAAGCCAUGGCUGGCUGGGAUAUAACACUUAGUCUCCAGAGCAGCAGAAAAGAAGCUUGCCCCCUCCUCAGUGUGACAUCCUUUCAAAUAUUUAAACAUGGCUAUCAUGUCCCCCUUUAAGCAUCCAGACUUUUUGCCAUUUUGGUUGCCCAUUGGGUUAUCUGAAGAAUUGAUCCAUUCAUUUUGUCUGACUUUGAUGCACCAUUGAUCAGGGCUGUGGAGUCAGAGGUGGAAACGAUUUGAAGUUUAGCCAGUCAGUUGAAAUGUGCCAACUUUGAUUACAAAAUAAUAACAUAAUAAUAAUGCACUUUGUUUAUAUUCCGCUUUAUCUCCCCGGAGGGACUCAAGAGUGGAUUACAGUACAUAUAUAGGCAAACACCCAAUGCCUUUUUACACAACGAAUAAUGCCACGCAAACAAGGAUAAGGUAAAAGGCGCUGCUCAACUUCCGGCUAUGAGGACGUGCUCUUGUUCCAUUUUCCAUGUCGAGGUGCCUGCUGUCCAUAGACAUCUCCAAUCUUUUUGCCGGCAUGUCAGCAUGGGGCGUCCUUUCCCUUUCCCACUGAGGUGGGACCUAUUGAUCUACUUGCAUUGCAUGCUUUCGAACUGCUGGAUUGGUAGAAGCUAGGGCUGACAGUUGGGAGAUCACCCCAACUUGCUGCUUCAAACUGCUAAACUUAUAGUCAGCAGCUCUUCCUGCAGCUAGUGGUUUUAACCACUGUGCC